rnacentral:rRNA from 1 species
UACGCAGGCGGCUUUGCAAGACAGGUGUGAAAUCCCCGGGCCUAACCUGGGAACUGCAUUUGUGACUGCAUGGCUAGAGUUUGUCAGAGGGGGGUGGAAUUCCACGUGUAGCAGUGAAAUGCGUAGAUAUGUGGAGGAACACCGAUGGCGAAGGCAGCCCCCUGGGAUGUGACUGACGCUCAUGUACGAAAGCGUGGGGAGCAAACAGGAUUAGAUACCCUGGUAGUCCACGCCCUAAACGAUGUCGACUAGUUGUCGGAGGGUAACUCCUUCGGUAACGCAGCUAACGCGUGAAGUCGACCGCCUGGGGAGUACGGUCGCAAGAUUAAA